rnacentral:rRNA from 1 species
AAAUUGAAGAGUUUGAUCAUGGCUCAGAUUGAACGCUGGCGGCAGGCCUAACACAUGCAAGUCGAACGGUAACAGGAAGCAGCUUGCUGCUUUGCUGACGAGUGGCGGACGGGUGAGUAAUGUCUGGGAAACUGCCUGAUGGAGGGGGAUAACUACUGGAAACGGUGGCUAAUACCGCAUAACGUCGCAAGACCAAAGAGGGGACCUUCGGGCCUCUUGCCAUCAGAUGUGCCCAGAUGGGAUUAGCUAGUUGGUGAGGUAACGGCUCACCAAGGCGACGAUCCCUAGCUGGUCUGAGAGGAUGACCAGCCACACUGGAACUGAGACACGGUCCAGACUCCUACGGGAGGCAGCAGUGGGGAAUAUUGCACAAUGGGCGCAAGCCUGAUGCAGCCAUGCCGCGUGUAUGAAGAAGGCCUUAGGGUUGUAAAGUACUUUCAGCGGGGAGGAAGGUGUUGUGGUUAAUAACC